UACAGAGGUCCCAAGCGUUGUUCGGAUUCACUGGGCGUAAAGGGUGCGUAGGUGGCCAGGUAAGUUUGGUGUGAAAGCUCGGAGCUUAACUCCGAAAAGUCAUUGAAUACUAGCUGGCUGGAGGGUCGGAGGGGAGACUGGAAUUCUCGGUGUAGCAGUGAAAUGCGUAGAUAUCGAGAGGAACACCAGUGGCGAAGGCGAGUCUCUGGACGACUCCUGACACUGAGGCACGAAAGCUAGGGGAGCAAACAGG
rnacentral:rRNA from 1 species